rnacentral:rRNA from 1 species
GGAACUAGAGACCGGCGCACGGGUGCGUAACGCGUAUGCAAUCUACCUUGUACAGAGGGAUAGCCCAGAGAAAUUUGGAUUAAUACCUCAUAGUGUUAUUGAAUGGCAUCAUUUAAUAACUAAAGUUCUAACGGUACAAGAUGAGCAUGCGUCCCAUUAGUUAGUUGGUAAGGUAACGGCUUACCAAGACAAUGAUGGGUAGGGGUCCUGAGAGGGAGAUCCCCCACACUGGUACUGAGACACGGACCAGACUCCUACGGGAGGCAGCAGUGAGGAAUAUUGGACAAUGGGCGCAAGCCUGAUCCAGCCAUGCCGCGUGCAGGAUGACUGCCCUAUGGGUUGUAAACUGCUUUUAUACAGGAAGAAACACUGCUACGUGUAGCAGCUUGACGGUACUGUAGGAAUAAGGAUCG